rnacentral:tRNA from 1 species
GGGGGUGUAGCUCAAUGGAUAGAGUAACGCACUACGAAUGCGAAGGUUGGGGGUUCGAGUCCCUCUACCCUCACCA